GGGGGUGUAAGGGUUUCGACUGUUGGAUUGUACAGGUCAGGGUUGCAGGCGGAGCUGUUCUAACUCCUUAAACUGGGCAAAACAAUUAACUGCUGAAGAUAAUAACGCAGAUUACGCAUUAGCUGCAUAGAUCAGCUAUCAGGUCCUGUUUCUCCCGCUCUGAAGAGGCAGGGUACCUGACACAACCAGGGCUUGCCGGAGAUAAUGUCUGCCGUAUUUCCGGGACACAAAAGACAGACUUUGAAGUUGAGCGGUUUGCUUCCAAUACCGUAACUUCUUCGAGAUUUAAAUUGGAGCUAAGCCUGUAGAUAUUCUCAUCUGGCCCAACAGGACCCGGGUUCGACUCCCGGCACCUCCAUUU
rnacentral:tmRNA from 1 species